AAUACCGGAUAACACUCUGUCCCGCAUGGGGCGGGGUUGAAAGCUCCGGCGGUGAAGGAUGAGCCCGCGGCCUAUCAGCUUGUUGGUGGGGUGAUGGCCUACCAAGGCGACGACGGGUAGCCGGCCUGAGAGGGCGACCGGCCACACUGGGACUGAGACACGGCCCAGACUCCUACGGGAGGCAGCAGUGGGGAAUAUUGCACAAUGGGCGCAAGCCUGAUGCAGCGACGCCGCGUGAGGGAUGACGGCCUUCGGGUUGUAAACCUCUUUCAGCAGGGAAGAAGCGUGAGUGACGGUACCUGCAGAAGAAGCGCCGGCUAACUACGUGCCAGCAGCCGCGGUAAUACGUAGGGCGCAAGCGUUGUCCGGAAUUAUUGGGCGUAAAGAGCUCGUAGGCGGCUUGUCGCGUCGGUUGUGAAAGCCCGGGGCUUAACCCCGGGUCUGCAGUCGAUACGGGCAGGCUAGAGUGUGGUAGGGGAGAUCGGAAUUCCUGGUGUAGCGGUGAAAUGCGCAGAUAUCAGGAGGAACACCGGUGGCGAAGGCGGAUCUCUGGGCCAUUA
rnacentral:rRNA from 1 species